UGACAAAGUAUGGUGGUUAUGACAUUCGGCUUGUAACCGAGUGGGCUCGGGUUCGAAUCCUGAAGGCAAAG